GGGCCCGCACAAGCGGUGGAGCAUGUGGUUCAAUUCGAAGCAACGCGCAGAACCUUACCAGCCCUUGACAUGUCCCGUAUGGGUUUCAGAGAUGAGACCCUUCAGUUCGGCUGGCGGGAACACAGGUGCUGCAUGGCUGUCGUCAGCUCGUGUCGUGAGAUGUUGGGUUAAGUCCCGCAACGAGCGCAACCCUCGCCCUUAGUUGCCAUCAUUUAGUUGGGCACUCUAAGGGGACUGCCGGUGAUAAGCCGCGAGGAAGGUGGGGAUGACGUCAAGUCCUCAUGGCCCUUACGGGCUGGGCUACACACGUGCUACAAUGGCGGUGACAGUGGGAUGCAAUGGAGCAAUCCUGCGCAAAUCUCAAAAAGCCGUCUCAGUUCGGAUUGGGGUCUGCAACUCGACCCCAUGAAGUCGGAAUCGCUAGUAAUCGCAGAUCAGCACGCUGCGGUGAAUACGUUCCCGGGCCUU
rnacentral:rRNA from 1 species